rnacentral:rRNA from 1 species
GAUGAACGCUGGCGGCGUGCCUAACACAUGCAAGUCGAGCGGUAACAGGAGUAGUUUACUACUUGCUGACGAGCGGCGAACGGCUGAGUAACGCGUGGGAAUGUACCCCAAAGUGAGGAAUAACUGCCCGAAAGGGUAGCUAAUGCCGCAUAUGAUCUUCGGAUUAAAGCAUUUAUGCGCUUUGGGAACAGCCCGCGUCCGAUUAGGUAGUUGGUGAGGUAAAGGCUCACCAAGCCGACGAUCGGUAGCUGGUCUGAGAGGAUGAUCAGCCAGACUGGAACUGAGACACGGUCCAGACUCCUACGGGAGGCAGCAGUGAGGAAUCUUCCACAAUGGGCGAAAGCCUGAUGGAGCAACGCCGCGUGCAGGAUGAAGGCCUUCGGGUCGUAAACUGCUUUUAUGAGUGAAGAAUAUGACGGUAACUCAUGAAUAAGGGUCGGCUAACUACGUGCCAGCAGCCGCCGUAAAAC